GUUGGAUAACUGGUGGCAGGUCAGAUUCAUUACCCCCUCUGGACUUCCCCCUCAAGGAUGUUCAGCUUCCUCCACCAUUACCUGAUUAUAUUGAACCCGGAAAGACCAAGAUAACAACUCUCACAAAUGGUCUCAAAAUAGCCUCAGAAACAUCAUCAGUAAGAUCAUUUUAACAUUCUUUUCUGGAAGAAAUAUUGAGUUAAUCGUUACUGUGAAUCCUAAAUAGGCUCCAAUUUAUUGAGUUCAGAGCCCUGCCGCCUCAAUUGGCUUAUAUGUUGAUUGUGGUUCAAUUUACGAAACACCGGCUUCAUAUGGAGCCACACAUCUCUUGGAACGCAUGGCCUUCAAAAGCACAUUAAACCGGAGCCACCUACGUAUUGCACGAGAAGUUGAAGCAAUU
rnacentral:lncRNA from 1 species